rnacentral:tRNA from 1 species
UAGAAAAUAGUAUGUUGGAGGUACCAGGGAAUUUUGAUUUCCCCAGGUGCAGGUUCAAUUCCUGUUUUUCUAA